GAGAAUAUUUCAGAUCUAUCAGAUCUAACAUUGUUAAGGUCACCACGUAUAUUUCAAAUUAGUUGUUCCUACUCGAGUCGUUCGUUUUCUGAAAUCAUGUAAUAAUUGGUUUGAUGAUUUAAGAUGAUCUUUAUGUGACAGAUCAGCUGUCAAGAAUUUAUUUGAAAUAAAGAAAAAACAUUUGCUAUAAUGUGCAUUUUUUUUUUUAUUACGGAUGACGAUUAACUUUUUUUUUGCAGGAAAAUAGAUGUUAACACAGUUACGAGAGAACCUGACUCUAAUAGCACAUAGCAAGAAAUACAAAACGAGAGUAAUAACAGGAUAACUCAAGAGAUAAUCAACAGACUUGAAAAUCUGGAAGGUAGCUUAACAGAAUUAAAUACAAAGAAAAUGAUGAUGGACAAAUUGCAAAGUAUGGAAGAAAGUUUAAAACACGGUUCUAGAAAUGAUAUGAAUGGAUCUUAGUCUAAUGUCUUCUGUAGACGAUCUGAAUGAUAUAAUCGUAGUAACAAUACAUCCUGAGUACAAUAUAGGGAUUUGUAAUGAGAGAGAACUGUGCUUUUUUUCUAGAAUUUUAGAUAGACCAAUUUGAAAUAUUAAUAUGUUGAUAGAGAAUUGUUUUUCAUUUAAUCAAAAUAUCAUGUUAAGUAAAUGAUUUUAACGUUCAGAAAUGUUUUUCUCCAAUAUUUAUGAUACCGCCUUACUUAUU